AUUGUGAAUAUUAAUUUAGAUGAAAAUGAUUUAAGCGUAUCAAAAGAAUAUUAACAUUAACGUAUCACGUAUCACAAAAUAAUAACAUAAGAAGAUAAAAUGAUAAGCAUUGGAUAAGAAUAUUGGUAUGAAAUAUUUUUACGAAAUAUUCAUUUUAUUUAAAUAAAAUUUUAAAUCUCGAUAAUCUAACAACGGAUGAUGCAGAUACAGAUGUUAAGAGAUGAUACUUUAACAAUUGAAAGUUUAGAUGGAAAUAGAUUAUAUUUGGAUUUCACGGCUCAAUUUAGAAUCUAUAAUUUUACCACACAGUAUCGUUGAAAAUUUUGAAGUUGGACGUGAUCGUUCCUUAUUAGAGGAUAAUAUGAUAUCUAUUUAUAUUUUAUAUUUUUAUAUUUAACAUAUAUUCAAUGAUAGGCAAUGAUAGAGACUAGCAUGAUGAAAUUAAAUAGAAGUUUGAAUAUGAUAUGAUAAGCGAUAUGUAAUUGAACAAAUAAGUCAUAGAAAGAAAUUGAAAAUAAAUUUAUGAGCGAAAAUAAAUAUAAAUCUGAUGAUAUUUUCAGUUAACAGUAUUCCUACGCAUUUAGAAGUAUUGAAAAAAGAAAAACAAAGGAAAUGCAAUAUAGUACUAGCAACAAUUUGAAAAAUAAUUAGAUAGGUGGAAAUGGAUAAUGUAUAAAUAUUCGACAAUGUGGAAAUUAUAAUGGUCUAAUCUCGUGGUUUAUAUUGUAAAAACUGUAAAUACUCUGAUGGAAUAUUUAAAGGAUCUGGUAAAAAAAUAAAAUUCAUGAACCGAAGCACAUGUAAACUUAUUACGGGCACAAUUGCUCAAUUUUUUUCUAUAGAAGAUAAAGUCGAGAUAAAAGUCCGAAUGGAUAAUAUCGUGUGGAUUUGUUCAAUUGCCAUUAAUAAAUUUGUAAAAAUUUGUAAUGAAAUGACAACACUCGUUUCAUUAAAAUCCACUGCAUUAUGUUUUCUUGUGAAAAUGGUGUAGGAAGUUUUGACUCUAGUCUUUUUAAAUUGGACAAAAUUUUUCCAAUAUGCAUACUGUCACUGCACACACUGUCAACGUACACAGGCAGUCUUAAAUGUUAUGCAGAAACACGACCGUUAUCUUUAAGACUAUUCUAUUCUAUCAUCUUUAAACGUAAUGAAACGAAGCAAGAAAUUUGGUUAUCAGAUAUAGGAACUGUUGGUCCUUCGGUAGAACGUGUAUUUAAAAGUAUAAUGACAGUAAAAUACUAAGCUUGGAUUAAACAUCCAUCAGGUUAAAAUAUUCAUUUUCCUCUUUUCAUUAGAAAAUUAAAACAGACAGAAUCUAACAUCAUUAUUUUUGUUCUUCUUCUAUGAUUAUAGUAAACGUACAUUUUUUACAUACA
rnacentral:lncRNA from 1 species